GAAGAUAUGGACACAAAAUGCUGGAGUAACUCAGCGGGUCAGACAGCAUCUCUGGAGAAAAGGAAUAGGUGACGUUUCGAGACCCUUCUUCAGUGUUGAACUGCCAGGACUUACCAACGCGAGGCUGGCCGACUUCGGGGCUGUGGUUGCGGUACGACCCAACUUCCGACCCGACUUUGGAGCCUCGGAGGCUCGGCCGUGGGCCAGUGGACGACAUCAUCGGGAGCUCGAGUUCUGUUUUCCGGAGCUCCCGCAACUACAGCUGCGUCCGCUGGACUGGAGGACGGCAGCUUCGACCGCCCCGGGCCGCGGAGUUUGAACUGGCCCGUUUGCGGAGCACGGAUUCAGCCGCGGGACUUACCUACCAUCACCCGGCGGGGUCACAACAUCGGAGGCUUGGAUUGCCUCAGCGCAGAGGGAGAGCAAGGAGGGAAGAGACAAUGACUUUGGGACUUAAACUGUGUUGAGUGUUUGUUAUUUAUUCUAUGUUAUGACUGCAGGCUAAACCAUUUUGUUGUACUGAAAAGUGCAAUGACAAUAAAUUGAAUCAAAUCAAAUCUAAAAAGUUUCAGAGGUGAUAAAUCUGGCUGUAAAAUUUUAAAAUCGCCCAGGGUUCUCAAGUCGGGUUUUACAUACAAAAAGAAAACGCCUCUGAAGAAAAAAUUACAGCCAGAUUUAUCACUUCUGAGACUUUUUAGAUACCAAAGGAAUCAAGAAAAACCACAAAUAAUGCCUUACUGUUGAUGAAAAGCAGUGAGCAAACGCGAUAAUUCACAAUAUUUUCAAUUCCGAUAUCUACACGGCCAAUGUUCGCCAAGCACUUUAGCUGCUGUUGCCCCUUCAGCUCUCGCUUCUCUUUACCUUAAUUUCGCUACACUUUUGGAAUUCUGAAGUUGGGUAAAUGUCUCUCACACUUACCCCGACUUCCACAAUUUUUUACAGCGCAAAAAUUCAACAUUUUGGCGUUUUUUAACAGGUAGGAAAGUACGCGUUUCUUGCAUUAAUAACAUAUACCAGAAGUUACGGAUGUCCUCCAGAUAGAUUGAGCGGCUCCAUGCGUCAAGCCCUAUGACCCAGUGACCUUACGUGCAACCCCCCAAUACUGGUCAGUCUUGGAAACGGUAACGAUGAACUAACAACCUGCUAUACUAUGGAUACUGAUUAAAGAUGAUCUUGAACUCCA